GAUUUUUCGGACUACAGUUCAUAAUAACUACAAAUCUGACGUUUUCCUGGCAUGUAAAAUAUAGAAUCGUAUAAACUCCAGGAAAACGUCAAAAAUCCGAUUUUUGGACUAUAUGAACUGAUGAAUAGAGCUGUCGCAUAAAAACGAUUAAAAACGUUAAUGAAAAGGUUGAGUAUAAUUUUCUGUAUUAAAUGCAUGAAGAUCUGGGCAAUUUUUAAGAAACAGUUCUAUAACUAAUAAAUUUAAAUGUAGAUCUUGUUUAUAUCCAUUUUUAGGGUAAAAUACAGAAAGACGGGCAAUAUUAUUUGUUGGAGGAGAGUUUGGCUGCAAUUUUUCUGUCAGAAGAUGAUCCAGAGACAAAAAGGGUCAUUAGGGAGGCAAUGCGUGCAUCAACUUCUGGGGAAUCAACUUCUCCCAGUGGAUGUGAGAUCCCCCCUUCGGAUUCACGCUUAGCUUCACAGGAAUUUGCAUCUGGCCGUUCUACACCCUCCAGUGUCUCAACUUCCAGCUCUGACUCACAGAGCACAAUGCAUGUUUUGACGGAGAGUGAAGAAAAA